CCUACGUGAGGCAGCAGUGAGGAAUAUUGGUCAAUGGACGCAAGUCUGAACCAGCCAUGCAGCGUGAAGGAUGACGGCUCUAUGGGUUGUAAACUUCUUUUGUACGGGGGUAAACGCAGAUACGCGUAUCUUUCUGUAAGUAUCAUACGAAUAAGGAUCGGCUAAAUCCGUGCCAGCAGCCGCGGUAAUACGGAGGAUUCGAGCGUUAUCCGGAUUUAUUGGGUUUAAAGGGUGCGUAGGUGGUCGGAUAAGUCAGUUGUGAAAUCCCGAGGCUCAACUUUGGAAUUGCAGGUGAAACUGUCAGGCUAGAGUGUAGUUGCGGUAGGCGGAAUGUAUGGUGUAGCGGUGAAAUGCUUAGAGAUCAUAAAGAACACCGAUUGCGAAGGCAGCUUACUAAACUACAACUGACGUUGAGGCACGAAAGCGUGGGGAGCAAACAGGAUUAGAUACCCUUGUAGUC
rnacentral:rRNA from 1 species